rnacentral:rRNA from 1 species
AACAAGGAGUGCCCUUCGGGGAACCGUGGAGACAGGUGCUGCAGUGGCUGUCGUCAGCUCGUGUCGUGAGAUGUAGGGUUAAGUCCCGCAACGAGCGCAACCCUUGUCUUUAAUUGCCAUCAUUGAGUUGGGCACUUUAAAGAGACUGCCGGUGUUAAACCGGAGGAAGGUGGGGAUGACGUCAAGUCCUCAUGGCCUUUAUGCCCAGGGCUACACACGUGCUACAAUGGGUGGUACAAAGAGCAGCCAGCUCGCGAGAGUGAGCAAAUCUCAAAAAGCCAUCCUCAGUUCGGAUUGAAGUCUGCAACUCGACUUCAUGAAGUUGGAAUCGCUAGUAAUCGUGUCUCAAAAUGGCACGGUGAAUAUGUCCCUGCUCCUU